rnacentral:rRNA from 1 species
UACGUAGGGUGCGAGCGUUAAUCGGAAUUACUGGGCGUAAAGCGUGCGCAGGCGGUUUUGUAAGUCAUAUGUGAAAUCCCCGGGCUUAACCUGGGAACUGCGUUUGAAACUACAAGGCUAGAGUGUGGCAGAGGGGGGUGGAAUUCCACGUGUAGCAGUGAAAUGCGUAGAGAUGUGGAGGAACACCGAUGGCGAAGGCAGCCCCCUGGGUUAACACUGACGCUCAGGCACGAAAGCGUGGGGAGCAAACAGG